GCUGGAGUGCCCUCUGCUACAACAGUUGCCCCUGGGAGCUCCAACUCAGAGACCACAACCUCUGUAGGAGAAAGUGGAAUAACAAGUGCUGAAAUAGUCACAGGUACUACUGAGGGCAUCUCUGGCAAAACUCUGGAAGCUGGAAGUGCCCAAACAG